UAAGGAAUAUUGGUCAAUGGGCGCAAGCCUGAACCAGCCAUGCCGCGUGAAGGAUGACGGCCCUAUGGGUUGUAAACUUCUUUUGUACGGGAAAAAACCUCUGGUCGUGUACCAGAGCUGAUGGUACCGUAAGAAUAAGCAUCGGCUAACUCCGUGCCAGCAGCCGCGGUAAUACGGAGGAUGCAAGCGUUAUCCGGAUUCAUUGGGUUUAAAGGGUGCGCAGGCGGAUUAUUAAGUCAGUGGUGAAAGCCUACAGCUUAACUGUAGAACUGCCAUUGAUACUGAUAUUCUUGAGUGUUGUUGAGGUAGGCGGAAUGUGUCAUGUAGCGGUGAAAUGCUUAGAUAUGACACAGAACACCGAUCGCGAAGGCAGCUUACCAAGCAACACUGACGCUCAUG
rnacentral:rRNA from 1 species